rnacentral:pre_miRNA from 1 species
UAAAUACUCCCUCCGUCCCGAAAUAAGUGACGUGGAUUUGUAUACGUGGAAACGUCACUUAUUUCGGGACGGAGGGAGUACUUU